rnacentral:rRNA from 1 species
UAGGGAAUCUUCCGCAAUGGGCGAAAGCUUGACGGAGCAACGCCGCGUGAGUGAUGAAGGUCUUCGGAUCGUAAAACUCUGUUAUUAGGGAAGAACAAAUGUGUAAGUAACUAUGCACGUCUUGACGGUACCUAAUCAGAAAGCCACGGCUAACUACGUGCCAGCAGCCGCGGUAAUACGUAGGUGGCAAGCGUUAUCCGGAAUUAUUGGGCGUAAAGCGCGCGUAGGCGGUUUUUUAAGUCUGAUGUGAAAGCCCACGGCUCAACCGUGGUGGGUCAUUGGAAACUGGAAAACUUGAGUGCAGAAGAGGAAAGUGGAAUUCCAUGUGUAGCGGUGAAAUGCGCAGAGAUAUGGAGGAACACCAGUGGCGAAGGCGACUUUCUGGUCUGUAACUGACGCUGAUGUGCGAAAGCGUGGGGAUCAAACAGG